AUGAGAAAAAGAGUGCUCAAAACCAUGGCAGACUUAACACAUUGCAUUGUGGGAUCUUAUGUACUGCACAUUUUUAGAAAAUGUAGAUGGAUGUUGCAUGCAUGCAGAUUAUAUUGUGCACAGUACACUCCCUCAUUAACCGUUUCUCCUCCUCCUCUGCUCUGGCUCCUCCCUCAGGGCGGGGCUUAUCUUCUACCGGAAGGGUGUGCGCUCGCUGGUCAUGUACGACCUGGAGGAGCGGGUCAACUUCUCUGUGUUCCCUUCGCUUCAGGGCGGCCCUCACAAUCACGCCAUCGCCGGCGUCGCUGUGGCUCUCAGACAGGCCACGACGCCCAUGUUUCGUGAAUACAUCGCUCAGGUUCUGAAGAACUCGAAGGCCAUGGCCGACGCGCUGCUGGAGAAGGGCUACACGGUGGUCUCGGGUGGGUUUUCACACGCCGUAGGUUUUCUCUUCAGGUGAGCCGAACGUGUUCGUCUGGGACUGAGACGACGCCACUGGAUCCUCCCGGAAGAUGAAGUUAGUCUUCCUGCGUUUUAUCAGUGUGUGCUGCAGGAGUGAGACUCAAACCCCUACAAAUUAGAGGGACUAAUUAACUAAAAAGCAGGUGAUUAUACUCCGCAGUAUUAAUGAAUAGUCCUGUUAAUGAAUCAGUGUUCGGUGGUGUGGAGUGAAGCUGUAACACACUGAUGCACCAAAGACCUGCAGACGCAUGAAGCUCUACUAACGGCUUCUUUAAAUCUCAUCCUAUCAUAUCCUCAUGCAGACAGCCUUAAAAACAUAAACAGAAGAAAAUACAACCCGGAUCAUAUUGAUGUGGUUUGUGUUGAACCAUCAAAUAAACGUCUUUAAAAACUUUUAUAGGGUGUUUUUCAGGGUUUCUGCGAGUCUUAAUUCACCCUUACGCAAAUGAAAGCUCUUAAAUCAGAGCAGAAAGUCUGUAAGUCGUGGCAUUAAACACUGCAACACAUGAAUACCUUCCUUUCCAGCACAAAUAUCUAAACAUCCUUAAAUCAAGAUGCGUUUACCGGAGAUGCAAAAUGAAGAUGUGGAGCCAGAAAUUGAUCAAAAUGAAGUGAGUUUAUGCUUAAAACAAGAACCGAUAUCUGUCAGUGAGGAAUGAAAAUGUCUUUUCCCUUUGAAUGAAGUUUCUUUUUCGGAGCCCAUUGAUGGAUAUUUGUUCAUGUUUUAAUCAUGAACUCACUUCAUUUUGAUCAAUUUCUCAGAAAACAACACUUAAAGGGAUAGUUUACCCAAAAAUUAAAAUUACCCCAUGAUUCACUCACCCUCAAGCCAUCCUAGGUGUAUAUGACAUUUUUCUUUCAGACGAAAGUCUGACUCUUCCAAGCGUUAUAAUGGCAGUGAAUGGGUGUUAUGUUUCAGUAGUCCAAGUCCAAUAAAGUGCAUCCAUCCAUCAUAAAAGUGCCUCACACGGCUCCGGGGCUGAAUUAAUUAUGAUUUCAAGAGGUCUUAAAUGUGGGGACAAGAAUUACGAUAUGGACUGAAUGUGACGAUUAAAUUGCAAAAGACUGAAUUUAUGAAAUAAACACAAACGCUGCACAUUUCAGAAUCUGGUGCUGCUGCUGCUUUGUGUUCUGCCGUUACCGGGGAAACCGCUGCUUUGUGUUCUGCCGUUACCGGGGAAACCGCUGCUUUGUGUUGUGACGUUACCGGGGAAACCGUUGCUUUGUGUUCUGACGUUACCGGGGAAACCGCUGCUUUGUGUUCUGACGUUACCGGGGAAACCGUUGCUUUGUGUUCUGACGUUACCGGGGAAACCGUUGCUUUGUGUUCUGACGUUACCGG
rnacentral:lncRNA from 1 species